rfam:Schistosoma haematobium scaffold414_29, whole genome shotgun sequence.
AUCCAGUUGAUUAGUCCCAAAUAGAACGAAACACGCGUCCUGGAU